AGGAGAGCGUUCUAAGGGCGUUGAAGGUCGAUCGUGAGGACGGCUGGAGCGCUUAGAAGUGAGAAUGCCGGUAUGAGUAGCGAAAGACAGGUGAGAAUCCUGUCCACCGUAUGACUAAGGUUUCCUGGGGAAGGCUCGUCCGCCCAGGGUUAGUCGGGACCUAAGCCGAGGCCGAUAGGCGUAGGCGAUGGACAACAGGUUGAUAUUCCUGUACCAGUUGUUUUUGUUUGAGCAAUGGAGGGACGCAGUAGGCUAAGGAAUGCAUGCGAUUGGAAGUGCAUGUCCAAGCAAUGAGUCUUGAG
rnacentral:rRNA from 1 species